UCUCUCCUGGAUCGAAAUUUCUUAAAUUUGGAAAAUAACAGACGAAUUUGUUUUACUUCUGACUCGGUUUAAAUUUAGGGUUCGUUUUGUUUAGUGUUUUCUUGUCUGAAUCGGAUUCCUGUUGCUUGAUUGGGUAGGUCUGAAAUGUAUAGAAGUCAGAAAAAGGAUUGAUUUUUAUGUGUGUAUGGUGAAUUGCAGAGGACUAUUGAUAUUGUAGGAGGAACUGCAAUGGUAGAGGGCAAAUAUAAACCUAGGAAGGAGUAAGAAUCGAAGAGGAUAAGUGGUUUUCGAGAUAGAGAUGACAAAAGGGAGAGGAAUUGGGAGGAGGCAUUAGAGGGGGGAAGAUAGAAAUACGAGAGAUUGUGAUAGUUGUUACGUGAGAGACAAGUUUUGUGAUUGUUCUGAGGACGAGAGGUACGAUGUAGAGAAGCGGCAUUGAGGAGAUAGGGAGAGAGAUAGUCAUAGGAGGACUAGAGAUAAGGAGAGGGAGAAGGUCAAAAGAGAAGGUUGCAGAGUGAUGAUGUAGACGAGGAUGAUGAUGCUAGGGAGAAUGAUAGGAAACGGUGUAAGAAAGAUCACAAGGAUAACGUAAAGAGAGAGCGGGAAAGGAGUAGCAGCAGGUCAGAUGGACAUAGGGAUGAUGGAGUUGAGAGGCUGAUCAUGAAGAGUGAUGAAGAUUAUUCAGUUAAGAAAGAGAGGAAACGAACAUGCGAGGUGGUGGAGGAGGAGUUAAGAGGAUCAACAGAGGAAUUGGAUGAGGAAAUGGAAAAGCGGAGGAAGAGAUCACUAGUCACGCAUUAUCACUUCCUGGUGGCGCUCAACAACACAGAUAUCAAGUUAUAUAAGUGAAGAACUCAAUUCCAACCAACUUUAGGUACAUAGGCUCGCUUAUUCAAUGUUGUCUACGCCUUUACGAAGCUGUGCAAUUCUUCAUUUUAAAGGGAUCGACGAACUAUCGACAUAAAUAAGCCUCCGGGAUUGAUCUCGUGCCCAAGGUCAGAAAAACCCCGCUUCAUUAAGUAUGCUAUCGGUAGAUUGUUACCAUCAAGAGAAAGUAAAAAGCAUAACAUUGCUGGAGAGCAAGUUCAACGUGGCAGCAGAAUAUAUCACGGGACUGAAACUUUUGCGUUUCAACAUUCAAGAAUCUUUUCGGGAAGCUGUUAACUGGCUUUAUGGAGACUGUCUUUAGAUAUCUCCACGAUUUUUUGCAAAAACCCAUAAACAAUUCAAAGUGUAAAAAUGUAAUGUGAAGUUUGUACUUACGAAUGAUUAAGAAAUUAUGUUCUUGUUUAUACCG